rnacentral:rRNA from 1 species
ACUCCUACGGGAGGCAGCAGUAGGGAAUUUUCCGCAAUGGACGAAAGUCUGACGGAGCAAUGCCGCGUGAGUGAUGAAGGUUUUCGAAUCGUAAAGCUCUGUUGUAAGGGAAGAAUAGCAAGAAUAGGAAAUGAUUCUUGUCUGACGGUACCUUACCAGAAAGCCACGGCUAACUACGUGCCAGCAGCCGCGGUAAUACGUAGGUGGCAAGCGUUAUCCGGAUUUAUUGGGUUUAAAAGGGUCCGUAGGCGGAUUAAUAAGUCAGUGGUGAAAUCCCAUCGCUUAACGAUGGAACUGCCAUUGAUACUGUUAGUCUUGAAUGAGGGUGCAGUGGUUGGAAUGUGUAGUGUAGCGGUGAAAUGCAUAGAUAUUACACAGAACACCGAUUGCGAAGGCAGAUCACUAACCCUAAAUUGACGCUGAGGGACGAAAGCGUGGGGAGCGAACAGGAUUAGAUACCCUGGUAGACUGU